CUAGUACUCCCUCCGUCCCAUAUUAAGUGACAAAAUAUGACAUGAAUGUAGACACUUCUUAGGUAUAGAUACAUCCAUAUUUGGGCAAAUUGGAGUCACUUAAUAUGGGAUGGAGGGAGUAUAUA
rfam:Brachypodium distachyon strain Bd21 chromosome 1, whole genome shotgun sequence.